AUGUUCACUUGCCAGGGCAAUGGCAAGGUCAAGAAGAUGGCGUUCCCAGGGUAAGGCCUGUCUCUUGCAGUCUGAUGUGCUGGCCCUGAGAUUUCCUCACAUCCAGGAAACUCAACUGCAUAAUUUGUGGUAAUAGGGGACUGCACUCAUUUUUCCCCUGU
ensembl:snRNA U1 U1 spliceosomal RNA